CAGCCGCCGCGGUAAUACGAAGGGGGCUAGCGUUGUUCGGAUUAACUGGGCGUAAAGGGUGCGUAGGCGGGUUUUUAAGUCAGAGGUGAAAUCCCAAGGCUCAACCUUGGAACUGCCUUUGAUACUGGAAAUCUUGAGUCCGGGAGAGGUGAGUGGAACUGCGAGUGUAGAGGUGAAAUUCGUAGAUAUUCGCAAGAACACCAGUGGCGAAGGCGGCUCACUGGCCCGGAACUGACGCUGAGGCACGAAAGCGUGGGGAGCAAACAGGAUUAGAUACUCCUGUAGUCCCUGUCUCUUAUAC
rnacentral:rRNA from 1 species